AUGUGCCUCUAUCCAGUAAUGACUUUGACCCUGAAGCCCCAAAAAGAAAAUCAAGGGUCACCCAGGGUGAAUGAAGACCAUACAUGUCCUUUCUGUUUAAGGCUGUAUGUUUGUUUACUUAACCUCUCAUCUUCUGUCUUGGCAUGCUUUUCAAACCGAGGAUCUACAUCACCUGUUCUCUUGUUCUUUCUCCUACCCCUCCAGAAUCCUGAAGCUAGACAAAGACCUGCAGUCUUUCUGGUACCUGAGUGAAUGAUCAUGAAAACCCUAUUUCUUACCUUAACCCAGUCUUAUCAUGAAACGCCACUCUGCCUCUGAGGGAGGAAGCACAGUUCAGAGAACCCCUGUCCUCACGGUCCCCUCAGCACAGUGCAGUGGGAUCAGAUCCGUCUUCCAGUUUCACUGGAGUUCCAGUUUCCCAGAGUUCCUGGGUCUCAUUUCUCAUCUGCGGAGAAAGGCAGCGAGGAUCUUUCUAGAAACGAAUUAUGAGUGCAAACUCAGCAAAACCACCCUCAGUAGAAAGGCCAGAACUGGUAUGUAUUAAACUGGUGUGUAUUUCGGAGAGGAACUUCUACUGCCA
rnacentral:lncRNA from 1 species